GCCUCAGUAACGGCGAGUGAAGCGGCAACAGCUCAGAUUUGAAAUCUGGCCCUUUCAGGGUCCGAGUUGUAAUUUGCAGAGGGUGCUUUGGUGUCGGCCGUGGUCUAAGUUCCUUGGAACAGGACGUCACAGAGGGUGAGAAUCCCGUACGUGGCCGCCGGUCUUCACCGUGUAAAGCCCCUUCGACGAGUCGAGUUGUUUGGGAAUGCAGCUCUAAAUGGGAGAUACAUUUCUUCUAAAGCUAAAUAUUGGCCAGAGACCGAUAGCGCACAAGUAGAGUGAUCGAAAGAUGAAAAGCACUUUGGAAAGAGAGUCAAAAAGCACGUGAAAUUGUUGAAAGGGAAGCGCUUGCAGCCAGACGUGCCCGCAGUUGCUCACCUGGGCUCUCGCCCGGGGCAUUCUUCUGCGGGCAGGCCAGCAUCAGUUCGGGCGGUUGGAUAAAGGCCUCUAUCACGUAUCUUCCUUCGGGAUGACCUUAUAGGGGAGGCGCAACACGACCAGCCUGAACUGAGGACCGCGCAUCAGCUAGGAUGCUGGCGUAAUGGCUGUAAGCGGCCCGUCUUGAAACACGGACCAAGGAGUCUAACAUCUAUGCGAGUGUUUGGGUGUAAAGCCCGGGCGCGCAAUGAAAGUGAACGG
rnacentral:rRNA from 1 species